rnacentral:rRNA from 1 species
AUGAACGCUAGCGGCAGGCCUAAUACAUGCAAGUCGAACGGUAACAUGAGUAGCAAUACUUGAUGACGAGUGGCGCACGGGUGCGUAACGCGUAUGCAAUCUACCUUUAACUGGAAGAUAGCCCCUCGAAAGAGGGAUUAAUACUCCAUAAUAUUAUGAGUUGGCAUCAAUUUAUAAUUAAACCUCCGGGGGUUAAAGAUGAGCAUGCGUGACAUUAGCUAGUUGGUGAGGUAAUGGCUCACCAAGGCUACGAUGUCUAGGGGAUCUGAGAGGAUUAACCCCCACACUGGUACUGAGACACGGACCAGACUCCUACGGGAGGCAGCAGUAAGGAAUAUUGGACAAUGGUGGCAACACUGAUCCAGCCAUGCCGCGUGAAGGAUGAAGGCCCUAUGGGUUGUAAACUUCUUUUGUACGGGAAAAAACCUAUCUACGUGUAGAUAGCUGAUGGUACCGUAAGAAUAAGGAUCGGCUAACUCCGU